UAAGGAAUAUUGGUCAAUGGAGGCAACUCUGAACCAGCCAUGCCGCGUGGAGGAUGAAGGCGCUCUGCGUUGUAAACUUCUUUUAUAAGGGAAGAAGUCCAGGUUUUCCAACCUGGUUGACGGUACCUUAGGAAUAAGCACCGGCUAACUCCGUGCCAGCAGCCGCGGUAAUACGGAGGGUGCAAGCGUUAUCCGGAUUCACUGGGUUUAAAGGGUGCGUAGGCGGGUAAGUAAGUCAGUGGUGAAAUCCCGGAGCUUAACUCUGGAACUGCCGUUGAUACUAUUUAUCUUGAAUACUCGGGAGGUGAGCGGAAUAUGUCAUGUAGCGGUGAAAUGCUUAGAUAUGACAUAGAACACCGAUUGCGCAGGCAGCUCACUACAGGGUUUAUUGACGCUGAGG
rnacentral:rRNA from 1 species